UGCCUGCUGGUGUAAAUGACAGCACACGAAGCUCUGACCUUCGUAGUUCAGGUUUGAAUCCUGGGCGGGCAUC
rnacentral:tRNA from 1 species